rnacentral:rRNA from 1 species
UACGUAGGGUGCGAGCGUUAAUCGGAAUUACUGGGCGUAAAGCGUGCGCAGGCGGUUUUGUAAGCCAGAUGUGAAAUCCCCGGGCUUAACCUGGGAAUGGCAUUUGGGACUGCAAGGCUUGAGUUUGGCAGAGGAGACUGGAAUUCCUGGUGUAGCAGUGAAAUGCGUAGAUAUCAGGAGGAAUACCGAUGGCGAAGGCAGGUCUCUGGGCUAGAACUGACGCUCAUGCACGAAAGCGUGGGGGAGCAAACAG